UAGUAAUAACGCCACUGAGAGAAAGUGCAUUCUUUUGUGUUUUGCAAAUGCAGAUCUUAUACACAGUUAAUUCGUUAUGCUGCAUUGUAUUUGAGGGGAGUUUGUAAUGUUUUCAUUCAUACAUUUAAAUGCUCUUGUAAUUUGAGUUACUUGAAAUGUAAUGACUAAUAUAUUCCCGUAUUUUGUUUAAGUAAUGUGUUAAAUUCCGUAGUUACUGAAAAAGUCAUAUUUUUGUAACUUUCAUAACACUGGAUUUGGGUAAUGCCUGGAUACUUGAAUAAUAGUGGGGAAAAUGUGAUUGUUUGGUGGUUAUUACUUUUUUUUAUUACACUUUUUGCAUUUAUAUGAUUACAAAUGAAACCCAUAUUUGGGUCGCGGCUUGUCCUCCUAAAGUGAUGGAGGGUCCUGAUGACAUGCCAGUCGAGAGCCACUGCACUGGGGCUUAAAAGUGUCUUCACCGACGGGUCGCAGCCCAGUGACCCGUUAUGGUGACGCCGAUACCGGGGAAGAGGUCUUAACAGAUGCAUAUUUUAACCGCGAGUGAGGCUCCUGGGUGAAGAAGAAGCGUCCAAGAAGCCGAAGUUCAGCAGCAGUUUCCACUUCUUCGCUGCUGGGGCUGGAUCCUGGCAGCCAUUUUGUGGGAAACCGUGAGUGGAGCGCGCUGGGCCGUGCUCGCCUGGCGUCGGGAGUGCGCUCAGUGCAGCCCCUCUAACUGUGACCGAUGUUACCACCACAGAGGGGCUGCCCGGCUAUAGCCUUUAGCGAUAACAUUUGCUUUUAUCGUCGGGUUUCUCCGUGUUCAGAGCGCUAACAGCCGGGCUUCACCUCCGCCGGAGCAGACUGCACGAGCGCGGGGACCGUCUUCCUCCCGUUUCAAUGGCAGCGUUUUUACGGACCGUUAGCAUGCUAGCUACCAACAGCUAGCUAGUGCCCGUUAAAUAUUAUUUAUAUAAAUAUUCGAGAUGCUGGCGGGCUGCUGUUCGUCGCACGGACUUGUACUGUCGUGGCUUGAGUGAGGAAAAAAAAAAAAAAAAAAAAAGGAAGCGCACACCAGAACCGCUCGGACACGGUUGCUGCGGGAGCGGUCAGUGGGAGCUGUCAGCGGCCGCUCAGGCUAAACGCUGCACCGCUUCGAGACCGUCUCCUACUGCGGGGGCACCACCAGGAUCUUACCGGGAGGACAGACGCACCGCGCCGGGGAGAGGGGGGGAGUUGGACACUUGUGGGGGAGAGAGAAGUGGGGGGGGGACCGCUGACCCGGAGGGGACAGGGAGAGCUGGUUCCGAUCAUGGCUGCUCCACGGCACUGGCACCGACACAGCGCCUGAGGUGCGAGCAGCUCAGGAUGUCCUGCCACAUCCUCUUCGUCCUCCUCCUCUUCCUCCUCCUCCUCCUCCUCCACUGCCCAGGGAUUCUCCCUCGCUGA
rnacentral:lncRNA from 1 species